rnacentral:lncRNA from 10 species
CCAGCCUUGCAUCCCAGGGAUGAAGCCGAUUUGAUCGUGGUGGAUAAGCUUUUUGAUGUGCUGCUGGAUUCGGUUAGCCAGUAUUUUAUUGAGGACUUUUGCAUUAAUGUUCAUCAGGGAUACUGGCCUGAAAUUUUCCUUUUUGUGUGUGUGUCUCUGCCAGGUUUUGGUAUCAGGAUGUUGCUGACCUCAUAAAUGAGUUAGGGAGGAGUCCCUCUUUUUCUUUUGUUUGGAAUAGUUUCAGAAGGAAUAGUACCAGCUCCUCUUUGUACCUCUGGCAGAAUUCAGCUGUGAAUCCGUCUGGUCCUGGGCUUCUUUUGGCUGGUAGGCUAUUAACUACUGCCUCAAUAUCAGAACUUGUUAUUGAUCUAUUCAGGGCUCUGACUUCUUCCUGGUUUAGUCUUGGGUGGGUGUAUGUGUCCAGAAAUGUAUUGAUUUCUUCUAGAUUUCUAGUUUAUUUGUGUAGAGGUGUUUAUUCUCUGAUGGUAGUUUGUAUUUCUAUGGGAUCAACGGUGAUAUGCUCUUUAUCAUUUUUUAUUGUGUCUAUUUGAUUCUUCUCUCUUUUCUUAUUAGUCUGGUUAGCAGUCUAUUUUGUUGAUCUUUUCAAAAAACCAGCUCCUGAAUUCAUUGAUUUUUUGAAGGGUUUUUUGUGUCUCUAUCUCCUUCAGUUCUGCUCUGAUAUUUGUUAUUUCUUGUUUUCUGCUAGCUUUGAAUUUGUUUGUUCUUCCUUCUCUAGUUCUUUUAAUUGUUAUGUUACGGUGUUAAUUUUAGAUCUUUCCUCCUUUCUCCUGUGGGCUUUUGGUGCUAUAAAUUUCCCUCUACACACUGCUUUAAAUGUGUACCAGAGAUUCUGGGAUGUUGUGUCUUUGUUCUCAUUGGUUUCAAAAAACUUAAUUUCUGCUGUAAUUUCGUUAUGUACCCAGUAGUUAUUCAGGAGGAGGUUGUUCAGUUUCCGUGUAGUUGGGCGGUUUUAAGUUUCUUAAUCUUGAGUUCUAAUUUGAUUGCACUGUGGUCUGAGAGACUGUUAUAAUUUCUGUUCUUUUACAUUUGCUCAGGAGUGUUUUAUUUCCAAUUAUGUGGUCAAUUUUAGAAUAAGUGUGAUGUGGUGUUGAAAAGAAUGUAUAUUCUGUUGAUUUGGUGUGGAGAGUUCUGUAGAUAUCUAUUAGGUCUGCUUGGUCCAGAGCUGACGUCAAGUCCUAAAUACCCUUGUUAAUUUUCUGUCUUGUUGAUCUAAUUUUGACAGUGGGGUGUUAAAGUCUCCCACUAUUAUUGUGUGGGAGUCUAAGUCUCUUUGUAAGUCUCCAAGAACUUGCUUUAUGAAUCUGGGUGCUCCUGUAUUGGGUGCAAAUAUAUUUAGGAUAGUUAGCUCUUCUUGUUCCAUUGAUCCCUUUACCAUUAUGUAAUGCCCUUCUUUGUCUUUUUGAUAUAUGUUGGUUUAAAGUCUGUUUUAUCAGAGACUAUGAUUGUAACCCCUGCUUUUUUUUUUUUUUUUUUUUUUUGCUUUCCAUUUGUUUGGUAAAUAUUCCUCCAUCCCUUUGAAUCUAUGUGUGUCUUUACAUGUGAGAUGCAUCUCCUGAGUGCAGCACACCAAUGGUUCUUGAUUCUUUAUCCAAUUUGCCAGUCUAUGUCUUUUAAUUGGGCUAAUAGCCCAUUUACAUUUAAGGUUAAUAUUGUUAUGUGUGAAUUUGAUCCUGUCAUUUUGAUGCUAGCUGGUUAUUUCACUCGUUAGUUGAUGCAGUUUCUUCGUAGUGUUGAUGAUCUUUACAAUUUGGUAUGUUUUUGCAGUGGCUAGUACUGGUUUUUCCUUUCCAUGUUUAGUGCUUCCUUCAGUGGUUCUUGUAAGGCAGGCCUGGUGGUAACAAAAUCUCUCAGCCUUUGCUUGUGUGUAAAGGAUUUUAUUUCUCCUUCACUUAUGAAGCUUAGUUUGGCUGGAUAUGAAAUUCUGGGUUGAAAAUUCUUCUCUUUAAGAAUGUUGAAUAUCGGCCCCCACUCUCUUCUGGCUUGUGGGGUUUCUGCAGAGAGACCUGCUGUUAAGUCUGAUGGGCUUCCCUUUGUAACUUGACUUUACUCACUGGUUGCCCUUAACAUUUUUUCCUUCAUUUCAACUUUGGCGAAUCUGGCAAUUAUGUGUCUUGGGGUUGCUCUUCUCGAGGAGUAUCUUUGUGGUGUUCUCUUUAUUUCCUGAAUUUGAAUGUUGGCCUGUCUUGCUAGGUUGGGGACGUUCUCCUGGAUAAUAUCCUGAAGAGUGUUUCCUAACUUGGUUCCAUUCUCCCUGUCACUUUCAGGUACACCAAUAAAACGUUAAGUUUGGUCUUUUCACAUAAUCCCAUAUUUCUUGGAGGCUUUCUUCAUUCCUUUUCAUUCUUUUUUCUCCAAUCUUGUCUUCACAGUUUAUUUCAUUAAGUUGAUCUUCAAUCUCUGAUAUCCUUGCUUCCUUUUGAUCAAAUCGACUAUUGAUACUUGUGUAUGCUUCACAAAGUUCUCGUGCUGUGUUUUGCAGCUCCAUCAGGUCAUUUAUGUUCUCUCUAAACUGGUUAUUCUAGUUAGCAAUUCCUCUAACCUUUGUUCAAGGUUCUUAGCUUCCUUGCAUUGGGUUAGAAUAUGCUCCUUUAGCUCAACGGAGUUUGUUAUUAUUCUGAAGCCUACUUCUGUCAAUUUGUGAAACUCAUUCUCUGUCCAGUUUUGUUCUUUUGCUGGCAAGCAGUUGUGAUCCUUUGCGGGAGAAGAAGCACUCUGGUUUUUGGAAUUUUCAGCCUUUUUGCACUGGUUUUUCCUCAUCUUCGUGGAUUUAUCUACUAUUGGUCUUUGAUGUUGGUGACCUUCAGAUGGGGUUUCUGUGUGGAUGUCCUUUUUGUUGAUGUUGAUGCUAUUCCUUUCUGUUUGUUAGUUUUCCUUCUAACAGUCAUGCCCCUCUGCUGCAGGUCUGCUGGAGUUUGCUGGACAUCCACUACCUGUUUUCCUGGCUAUCAACAGCAGAGGGGCACUCACCAAAUGCCAGCCGGAGUUCUCCUAUAUGAGGUGUCUGUCAACCGUUGCUGGGAGAUGUCUCCCAGUCAGGAGACACGGGGAUCAGGGACCCACUUGAGGAGACAGUCUGUCCCUUAGCAGAGCUCAAGGGCUGUGUUGGGAGAUCCAUCGCUCUCUUACAGAGCCGGGAGGCAGGAACAUUUAAGCCUGCUGAAGCUGCACCUACAGCUGCCCCUUCCCCCAGGUGCUCUGUCCCUGGGAGAUGCGGAGUUUUAUCUAUAAGCCCCCUGACUGGGGCUGCUGCCUUUCUUUCAGAGAUGUCCUGCCCAGAGAGGAGGAAUCUAGAGAAGCAGUCCGGCUACAGCAGCUUUGCUGAGCUGCAGUGGGCUCUGCCCAGUUUGAACUUGCGGGAGAUUUUGUUUACACUGUGAGGGGAAAACCACCUAUUCGCACCUCGGUAAAGGCAGAUGCCCCUCCCCCGACAAGCUCGAGCAUCCCAGGUCGACUUCAGACUGCUGUACUGGCAGCAAGAAUUUCAACCCUGUGUAUCUUAGCUUGCUGGGCUCUGUGGGGCUGGGAUCCUCUGCGCUAGACCACUUGGCUUGCUGGCUUCAGCCCCCUUUCCAGAGGAGUGAACGGUUCUGUCUCACUGGUGUUCCAGGCGCCACUGGGAUAUGAAAAAAA